rnacentral:lncRNA from 1 species
AAGCAACAAACUAAGCAGUCAUAUACAUCCGAGACAUUUAUUUACAAAUGGUUCCUAGCACAGAAAAAUCAUAUUAUUAUGUUACGGAUGAUAAGUUUGAUGCAUAAAUACAAUUAAGAAUUUUUUUCAACUGAACAUUUGUGCCUACUGAAUUACCUUACAACAUCCACUGUAUUGUGAUUUUGGCAUGUUAAAGCUGAGAAUCAACAUUGGAGCUUGCGUUAGCAUUUGGAACAUGAAAUAUAGCACCAUCAAUUUCCAGUGUUAAUUCCAUUGACAAUAGUUGUGCAAAAGAACUCUGCUAGUAAGGUAAUCGUGAUUAGUAAUUCU